CCUACGGGAGGCAGCAGUGGGGAAUAUUGGACAAUGGGCGAAAGCCUGAUCCAGCCAUGCCGCGUGUGUGAAGAAGGCCUUCGGGUUGUAAAGCACUUUCAGUGGGGAAGAAAGCCUUGGGACUAAUACCCUCGAGGAAGGACAUCACCCACAGAAGAAGCACCGGCUAACUCCGUGCCAGCAGCCGCGGUAAUACGGAGGGUGCGAGCGUUAAUCGGAAUUACUGGGCGUAAAGCGCGCGUAGGCGGUCUGAUAAGCCGGUUGUGAAAGCCCCGGGCUCAACCUGGGAACGGCAUCCGGAACUGUCAGGCUAGAGUGCAGGAGAGGAAGGUAGAAUUCCCGGUGUAGCAGUGAAAUGCGUAGAGAUCGGGAGGAAUACCAGUGGCGAAGGCGGCCUUCUGGACUGACACUGACGCUGAGGUGCGAAAGCGUGGGUAGCAAACAGGAUUAGAUACCCUAGUAGUC
rnacentral:rRNA from 1 species